AUUGAACGCUGGCGGCAGGCUUGACACAUGCAAGUCGAGCGGAGAGAGGUAGCCUGCUACUGAUCUUAGCGGCGGACGGGUGAGUAAUGCUUAGGAAUCUGCCUAUUAGUGGGGGACAACAUUUCGAAAGGAAUGCUAAUACCGCAUACGUCCUACGGGAGAAAGCAGGGGAUCUUCGGACCUUGCGCUAAUAGAUGAGCCUAAGUCGGAUUAGCUAGUUGGUGGGGUAAAGGCCUACCAAGGCGACGAUCUGUAGCGGGUCUGAGAGGAUGAUCCGCCACACUGGGACUGAGACACGGCCCAGACUCCUACGGGAGGCAGCAGUGGGGAAUAUUGGACAAUGGGCGGAAGCCUGAUCCAGCCAUGCCGCGUGUGUGAAGAAGGCCUUAUGGUUGUAAAGCACUUUAAGCGAGGAGGAGGCUACUUUAGUUAAUACCUAGAGAUAGUGGACGUUACUCGCAGAAUAAGCACCGGCUAACUCUGUGCCAGCAGCCGCAGUAAGAC
rnacentral:rRNA from 1 species